AACGAACGCUGGCGGCAUGCCUAACACAUGCAAGUCGAACGAAGUCUUCGGACUUAGUGGCGCACGGGUGCGUAACGCGUGGGAAUCUGCCCUUGGGUGCGGAAUAACUUCUCGAAAGGGAUGCUAAUACCGCAUAAUGUCGUAAGACCAAAGAUUUAUCGCCCAAGGAUGAGCCCGCGUAAGAUUAGCUAGUUGGUGGGGUAAAAGCCUACCAAGGCGACGAUCUUUAACUGGUCUGAGAGGAUGAUCAGUCACACUGGAACUGAGACACGGUCCAGACUCCUACGGGAGGCAGCAGUGAGGAAUAUUGCACAAUGGGCGAAAGCCUGAUGCAGCGACGCCGCGUGGAGGAUGAAGGAUUUCGGUCUGUAAACUCCUGUCAGUAGGGAAGAGAAUGGACGGUACCUACUGAGGAAGCUUCGGCUAACUACGUG
rnacentral:rRNA from 1 species